CUUGCUUUCACACGGGACGCGGCAAGCAGCCACCCCUCCGCACAGCAGAAGCACCCCACGGCCUGGGCAGCCAAACCGGCGCCUGCACCGCGGUCCCGGGGCGGACGUUACCACAAAAGCCACUGGGUUGAGCCCGUCUCUGAUGAAACAACCCAGCUGCUGAGUUACAGUCAGUCAGAGCGCAGGCUUUUUGAGUCCUCUACAAGAGAGAGCGGUUGUCACGAUUUGGUGCACUUCUUCAACGAAAUUAAAAGGCAGGUUUUGGAGUCAGUCACGGCAUCUUUUAGCUACAAGUGAAAUGCAAGGCUGCGGUCUGAAGUUCGCAGUUACCCUGGCGAACAGCAGCCCAUUACCGGCUAAGAUUUCUGCGACACACUGGCACGAGAAUUAGCUCUGUUUCGGCAAAAAGAGAUUACAGAGAACGGUUAAAGAUACUACAAUUAAAAUGCUCCUCUAAAUGUUACAUUUUUAUGUCUAAAAUGC